GUCCCCAGCUUUCCGACCACCUGACCUGUCCUCCAUCUGACAGUCUUCCAGCCUGGCCAGGAGCAGCCCCAGCCCAGGCACCUGCCCGGGCCUGGCCUCCUCAGGGGUGAGGACAGGGGCCGCAGAGGCAGCUCCAGCUGUGGAAGCAACAGGGAGACAGGCCAGGGAAGGGGCUGAGCCGCAGCUACUGCACAGGGGGGCCAGGGCCACUGCUCCAGGAAGCCCCCACCCUCCUCCUGCACUUCCUGAUAAUCCAGGCCAGCGGCCACCUCCCCCAGGAAGCCCCCGACCCUUCCCUCCCCUGGGCUGGCUCUCAUAUUAAAAGGUCAUCCUUGGAGGUGCUCUGGGCAGUUAAUUCCAGGCAGCAGCCCCACACCCCAGCUUCUCCAAACCUGGUAUUUGUUAACCAGCCGCCCUUGGGGGUCCUUCCAUCAGCCUUGGGAGGCAGCAGUGCUGUCCCACACCUCAGACAAGGAGACUGAGGUCCAGGGAGGAGGCCUUACCCAGCUCACUGCCCCACCAGGUCCCUCUCCUGCCCCCUACACUGACAGGGUGGGCUGCUGGGUGGGCAAGAAGAUGGUUGCAAAGGGUGUGAGAGCCGUGCAGGCCAGACUUGGAAGCAAGGAAGGUGCCAGCCCUGGGGACUCAUGGCCAGCGUGUGGGGGCGAGCAAUGGGUAGUGUGACG
rnacentral:lncRNA from 1 species